GUGACGGUGGUGUAAGGCGAACAUCGCUGCCCGGAAAGCAGAAGAUGCGGGUUCGAGUCCCGCCUGACGCA
rfam:Heligmosomoides polygyrus genome assembly, scaffold: HPBE_scaffold0002700